ACUCCCUUUAUGGUUUGACCCGCGUCCCCUAAUUCUCAGUAAACGGGAGGAAAGCCCAGCCCGAAGACUGUGGCCAGGCGGUUACUAGACAAUGUGGUGUUCACGGGGUUCCGGCGGAGUCCCUGCUCCACCCUAAGUUCAUGAAUGAAUAUGGUAAAUGGACAUGGCCCACGGAGGGGUGACAGGCCAGGGGGGGUGGAGAUCAGGCAGGCCAGUGACGCCCUGGAUAAACCUUGGAGUCGGGUUGUUUGAGAUUGCACCCCCAAAGUGGGUGGAAAACUCCAUCCAAGGCCUAAAUACUAGCACGAGUCCGAUAGCAAAACAAGUACCGUGAGGGAAAAUUUGAAAAAUACUUUUGAAGAAAAGAGUAAACAGUGCGUUGAAAACCGAUCAGAGGUAAAACGGGUGGAAGUUGAAACUGCAAAGCUUCCAGAAUUCACCCCGGUGAGUGUGUUACGAACUGGGGUUGUAUAUUUGGACUCCGGGGGUCUGUGGGGGCACUUAUUCUUGUGUCCUGGGCCACUUGAGUUUAUCGGAAUUGCUCCCCCAUGCACUUUCUUCGGGAGUAAUCCCCCACCACCGGCUUUGCUUGCCUGGGCUGGGGGGGGUUAAACCGGGUUUUGCAUGGGCCUUUGGGGGUCUUUUUGAUCCGGAAUGGCAGGUAACCUCCCUUGGUCCGCCCCCCUUGGGGGGCGGAUUUUCGAAGGGUAACUCCUUGACCGCUUUGGUUUUUGUGCAUGGGCUGAAAAACGGGGGUCAUGGUUGGGGGAAAUAAACCAAUUUGGGGGGUCGGUUCCCUUGUUUCCCUUCUCUUGGGGGGCAGGCCUAAAAAAGCGUUGAUUUCCAAAAUUGCCGCGGGGCCGGGGGGGCCCUGGGGGGGCCAAAAAUUUUUGUGCUUGGGCC
rnacentral:rRNA from 1 species